rnacentral:tRNA from 1 species
CGGGGCGUGGCGCAGCUUGGUAGCGCGCUUCGUUCGGGAAGAAGAGGUCGUGGGUUCAAAUCCCGCCACCCCGACCA